UUAAGGGUGCAGGGCGGAUGCCUUGGCACUAGGAGCCGAUGAAGGACGUGAUAAGCUGCGAUAAGCUUCGGGGAGUUGCACGUAAACUUUGAUCCGAAGAUUUCCGAAUGAGGAAACUCACUUAGAGUAAUGUCUAAGUAUCAUUAAGUGAAUACAUAGCUUAAUGAGGGGAACUCAGGGAACUGAAACAUCUAAGUACCUGAAGGAAGAGAAAGAAAUUCGAUUCCGUAAGUAGCGGCGAGCGAACGCGGAUUAGCCCAAACCAAUAAAGUUUUCUUUACUGGGGUUGCGGACAUAUCAUAACGAAGAGGUAUCGUAAUUGAAGAGGUUUGGAAAGACCCACCACAGAAGGUAAUAGUCCUGUAUGUUAAACGAGAAGACUUCAGAUAUGAUCCAGAGUACCACGGGACACGUGAAACCCUGUGGGAAGCAGGAGGGACCACCCUCCAAGGCUAAAUACUACCUAGUGACCGAUAGCGUAUAGUACCGUGAGGGAAAGGUGAAAAGAACCCCGGGAGGGGAGUGAAAUAGAACCUGAAACCCUGCACUUACAAGCUGUGGAAGCACAUUUCUUGUGUGACCGCGUACUUUUUGUAGAACGGGCCAACGAGUUACGUUAAGUAGCAAGGUUAAGCACUUAAGGUGCGGAGCCGUAGCGAAAGCGAGUUUUAACUGAGCGUUCAGUUACUUGACGUAGACCCGAAACCGGGCGACCUACCCAUGAGCAGGAUGAAGCGAAAGUAAAAUUUCGUGGAGGUCCGAACCCACGAGCGUUGAAAAGCUCGGGGAUGACUUGUGGGUAGCGGUGAAAUUCCAAUCGAGCCCGGAGAUAGCUGGUUCUCCCCGAAAUAGCUUUAGGGCUAGCCUCAAGGUGAGAGAUACGGAGGUAGAGCACUGAAUGUCCUAGGGGGUAUUGCACCUACCGAAGACUAUCAAACUCCGAAUGCCGUCAUCUUAUACUUGGGAGUCAGACUGUGGGUGAUAAGAUUCAUAGUCGAAAGGGCAACAGCCCAGAUCGUCAGCUAAGGUCCCUAAAUGUAAGUUAAGUGGUAAAGGAUGUGGGAUUGCACAGACAACCAGGAUGUUGGCUUAGAAGCAGCCACUCAUUCAAAGAGUGCGUAAUAGCUCACUGGUCGAGUGAUCCUGCGCCGAAGAUUUCCGGGGCUAAAACUUACUACCGAAGCUACGGCAUCAGUAAUGAUGGGUAGGGGAGCUUCCCAUACGGGUUGAAGCAUGACCGUAAGGACAUGUGGACAGUAUGGGAGUGAGAAUGUUGGCAUGAGUAGCGAGAUGUGGGUGAGAAUCCCACAGGCCGUAAACCCAAGGUUUCCAGGGGAAGGUUCGUCCGCCCUGGGUUAGUCGGGACCUAAGCUGAGGCCGAAAGGCGUAGGUGAUGGACAACAGGUUGAUAUUCCUGUACUACCGAUAACCGUUUGAGAGAAGGGAUGACACAGUAGGAUAAGCUAAGCACACUGUUGGUUAUGUGUGCCCAAGCAUGAGGCAGUCAAAGCAGGCAAAUCCGCUUGAUAAUGCUGGGAUGUGAUGGGGAGCGAAAUUUAGUAGCGAAGUAGCUGAUUUCACACUGUCAAGAAAAGUCUCUAUCGAGGUUAAAGGUACCCGUACCGCAAACCGACACAGGUGGGUGAGGAGAGUAUCCUAAGGCCAGCGAGAGAACUGUUGUUAAGGAACUCGGCAAAAUGACCCCGUAACUUAGGGAUAAGGGGUGCCACCAUCCGGUGGCCGCAGAGAAUAGGCCCAAGCGACUGUUUACCAAAAACAUAGGUUUCUGCUAAGUCGCAAGACGAUGUAUAGGAGCUGACGCCUGCCCGGUGCUGGAAGGUUAAGGGGAUCUGUUAGAGCAAUCGAAGCAGUGAACUUAAGCCCCAGUAAACGGCGGCCGUAACUAUAACGGUCCUAAGGUAGCGAAAUUCCUUGUCGGGUAAGUUCCGACCCGCACGAAAGGCGUAACGAUUUGGGCACUGUCUCAACAACAGACUCGGUGAAAUUGUAAUUCCGGUGAAGAUGCCGGAUACCUGCGACAGGACGGAAAGACCCCAUGGAGCUUUACUGUAGCUUGACAUUGGGUCUUGGUACUACAUGUACAGGAUAGGUGGGAGGCUUUGAAACCAGGACGCCAGUUUUGGCGGAGCCAUCCUUGGGAUACCACCCUUGUAGUACUGGGACUCUAACCAUAGGCCAUGAAUCUGGUCUUGGGACACUGUCAGGUGGGCAGUUUGACUGGGGCGGUCGCCUCCCAAAAGGUAACGGAGGCGCUCAAAGGUUCUCUCAGUACGGUCGGAAAUCGUACGUAGAGUGUAAAGGCAAAAGAGAGCUUGAUUGCAAGACAUACAGGUCGAGCAAGGAUGAAAAUCGGACUUAGUGAUCCGGUGGUUCUGCGUGGAAGGGCCAUCGCUCAACGGAUAAAAGCUACCCUGGGGAUAACAGGCUUAUCUCCCCCAAGAGUCCACAUCGACGGGGAGGUUUGGCACCUCGAUGUCGGCUCAUCACAUCCUGGGGCUGUAGUAGGUCCCAAGGGUUGGGCUGUUCGCCCAUUAAAGUGGUACGCGAGCUGGGUUCAGAACGUCGUGAGACAGUUCGGUCCCUAUCCGUCGCAGGCGUAGGAAAUUUGAGAAGACCUGUCCUUAGUACGAGAGGACCGGGAUGGACGUACCUCUGGUGUACCAGUUGUUCUGCCAAGGGCAUGGCUGGGUAGCUAUGUACGGAAUGGAUAAGCGCUGAAAGCAUCUAAGCGCGAAGCCAACUUCAAGAUAAGAUUUCCCACCGCAAGGGUAAGACCCCAGAAAGACUAUCUGGUUGAUAGGUCGAAGGUGUAAGUGCAGCAAUGUAUUUAGCUUAUCGAUACUAAUAGGUCGAGGACUUGACC
rnacentral:rRNA from 1 species